rnacentral:tRNA from 1 species
UAGAUGGAAGUUUGUUGGUUUGAACGCUUAGCUGUUAACUAAGAGUUUGGGGGAUCGAGGCCCCCUCAUCUAG